rnacentral:rRNA from 1 species
UACGAAGGGGGCUAGCGUUGUUCGGAAUUACUGGGCGUGAAGCGCGCGCAGGCGGUCCUUUAAGUCGGGGGUGAAAGCCCAGAGCUCAACUCUGGAACUGCCUUCGAAACUAGAGGACUUGGGUACGGGAGAGGUGAGUGGAAUUCCGAGUGUAGAGGUGAAAUUCGUAGAUAUUCGGAAGAACACCAGUGGCGAAGGCGGCUCACUGGCCCGUUACCGACGCUCAGGCGCGACAGCGUGGGGAGCAAACAGG